AACGAACGCUGGCGGCAUGCCUAACACAUGCAAGUCGAACGAGACCUUCGGGUCUAGUGGCGCACGGGUGCGUAACGCGUGGGAAUCUGCCCUUGGGUUCGGAAUAACAGUUAGAAACGAACGCUAACACCGGAUACGCCCCCCAUUCGAGAGUUUGGGGGGGAAAGUUUACGCCGAUAGAGGAGCCCGCGUCCGAUUAGGUAGUUGGUGGGGUAAAGGCCUACCAAGCCGACGAUCGGUAGCUGGGCUGAGAGGAUGAUCAGCCACACUGGGACUGAGACACGGCCCAGACUCCUACGGGAGGCAGCAGUGGGGAAUAUUGGACAAUGGGCGCAAGCCUGAUCCAGCAAUGCCGCGUGAGUGAUGAAGGCCUUAGGGUUGUAAGGCUCUUUCGCACGUGACGAUGAUGACGGUAACGUGAGAAGAAGCCCCGGCUAACUUCGUGCCAGCAGCCGCGUAACAC
rnacentral:rRNA from 1 species